rnacentral:lncRNA from 1 species
AAAGUACAAUAGGCACAAAACCCUAAACAAAUCAAUGGAAAAACCUCACAACACUUGGUAAAGGGGUUAUCAAAAUGCAUGGCUGCUGAGAAUCUGUGGUUCUUACCACCACAUUUUUCUGUGACAGCACAAAUCAAGAAUUUCAGCUUCUGGAUCUGAUUCCUCUCAUAUCUACGUUUGGACAUACUGGUCACACUCACUUUUCUCUUCCUGAGACCAGCCCAAACAUUGUCAAGAUUCCUUUGUUUCUUGCAGAUCCAAGCAAAGGUUCCAGCCUCCCCUGGUUUGGCUGUCCCCACCAUCUGGCCAUGGACCACCAGGUCCUGCCAGCUCCUGCCAGCACCUCCCUCUGCUCGCAGUGUUUCCUGCACCUCCUCUGAGAUGCUGAAACAAUGAACUGUGGACAAGAUUAAACCUGGUACAAUUCUUGUCCUGUGCAUGGACGUGUAACCACAGCUCUGCUGAAGACCACAGAAAUUAUCCUGGGGAGCAAAAUACCCUCUCUAUCUGGUCUGGUCCCUAUCGAUUGGUUCCCCACAGGAGUGGAGGCACCAGAGCUGCAGGAGAGAGGCUGCGUGGGAAGUCAAAAGAGAACAGAAAGCAUCAGCUGUUCCAGGAAAUAACCUGUCCUUGCACAUUUCCUCAUGUUCAGGCUUCAAUAUUGUGAAUGCAAGCACUGUGAUGAGAGAAGAGGAAAAGAAAACCAUCCUUCAUUUUGCUGAGCACCAGCAGUGUGAACAAAAAUAUAAGGUGCUUCAGGGCAGGGAGAAACUGUGAAGAAAUAGGUUUUCAAAUUCCAUUUGUACUGGAUUGUCUGAAAAUUGUCUCAAGAACUGCCUUCUGGAGACAGCUGCCAUGCUCUGAGAGAUGGCAGA